GAAAAAAUAGGCCUGUAUUUUAAGGCUCCUUUUACUGGGGACUCUGAUACCUAUGACUGAACACAAUCUCUAAUUAAUAUAGGAAAUAACUUUGGUUGAGCACUUAUUAUAUACUAAGCUAUGUUGGAUGUGGUCAUUUCUUUUGUCAUUUAAACCCCCAAGGCCCAGAAGUGAGCUUUCUAUGCCUCUGUUUACAGAUGAAUAAACUGAAACAGAAAAGUGAACAGUAAAGAGAAAAGCUCAUCUCUUUUACGCAAUCUUCCUAGAGAAAAUUAACUAGUUCUUCCUCUGAAUGCACCUGUCUAGUACAUAUCUUAUCUAGCAACUGACAUACAGAUAUAGAAGAAGACGUUUGGGGCGUAUCAGAGUAUCGCUUUGCAGCCUGGAAUGGUAUCUGAUUCACCAUGGCAUUGCAGGUGCCUGAAGAAUUUAAUGUAUAUUUUUUAAAAGUAAAAUCAAGAGAAUACACUGUCUUGUAGUAUAUUCUCUAGAGUUGUCACUGUUAAGAAGACCCAGUUGUGUAGUGGAGACAAGAACCAGUGGGAAACAGGUGAAAGUUUUACCACUGGGAAACCAAGAACCAAGAAGUUUUUACAAUCUUCAGUCUCCUGCCAGGACCACUGCUUGCUGAUGUCUCAAUGCUUCUUAGACUCUUAAGUUCUAUUCUGUUUCUACCAGUGUAACUCAUUAUAUUAACAGAACGUAGGAGAAAAAAAAGCACAGACCUAUCUCAGUUGAAGGAAAAAGGCAUCUGACAAAAUUUAACAUCCAUUCAGGAUAAAAGCCCUCAGCAAAUUAAGGAUAAAAGGAAGCAUCCUCAAUAUGAUAAAGCACAUGUGCAACAAUCCUACAGCUAACAUAGCACUUAAUGGGAUAUUCAACAUAGUUCCCUGCUGUGUACAGCUCUAUAGCACUGGCCACUGCUUGGAAGUUUCCCAAGAAUUUCAGCUGGUGAGGAAUGGAAGAGAAUGUGAUACAAAGUUUGACUUCAUAAAGACACCUUCUUAGAACUCUAAGGAUUUCUAAGGAGAAUUCUGAAGCUCAGAUAAACUGAAGAAUAACACAAAAUACCAGCUAACAAGAACUUCUUA